AAUGCGUUUUCUCUUUUUUACCACACGUUUUGAUGUAGCUUAAAAACAGGCUGUAUCUUCCUUACUUCCACACAAAUGGAACAGCAGUUUCUACUUGGGUCCAAGUCUCCCCGAGAGUUAAUUUGUCAGGAAUUGCACGUGCCCAUGGCCAGCCUCAUGUGUUUUUCAGACAAAGAGUGAUAAAAAGUGGAGCUGCAGACAACCAAUGGAGCCCCGAGCAGGAUUCUGCUGGGCUGGUGCAGAGAACCACACGUCUUGUAGCCACCCAAGACAAGUCUCAUACGUGACAGGCUGUGAUUGUGAAAGUCUGAGCUCUGGAGUGAACCAAG